rnacentral:rRNA from 1 species
UACGAAGGGGGCUAGCGUUGCUCGGAAUCACUGGGCGUAAAGCGCACGUAGGCGGAUUGCUAAGUCGGGGGUGAAAUCCUGGAGCUCAACUCCAGAACUGCCUUCGAUACUGGCGAUCUUGAGUCCGGGAGAGGUGAGUGGAACUCCAAGUGUAGAGGUGAAAUUCGUAGAUAUUCGGAAGAACACCAGUGGCGAAGGCGGCUCACUGGCCCGGUACUGACGCUGAGGUGCGAAAGCGUGGGGAGCAAACAGG